CCGACGGUGAGGGAUGAAAGCUGGGGGCACGAACCGGAUUAGAUACCCGGGUAGUCCCAGCCGUAAACGAUGCUCGCUAGGUGUCUGGGAUGGUGCGACCGUUUCAGGUGCCGCAGGGAAGCCGUGAAGCGAGCCACCUGGGAAGUACGGCCGCAAGGCUGAAACUUAAAGGAAUUGGCGGGGGAGCACUACAACGGGUGGAGCCUGCGGUUUAAUUGGACUCAACGCCGGAAGACUCACCUGGGGC
rnacentral:rRNA from 1 species